CGCUCUCUCUCUACUCUCCUCUCGUAAAUUCUCUGUGGCGAUGGAAUCAAAAUCAAAGACGAUAAGAGAAACGAAGGCCUUCGAUCAUCAUCAUCAUCCAUGAUUCCAUCGAGACGAAAAGCGAAGAUCCGAGGCAUCGAUCUGGAUCUAGGGCACGAGGAGCUCCAGACAUUUCUCACGGUGAUCGAUCUGAGACCGGAUGAAGACAAGGAGUGCGAAGAGUUACCGGUCGUUAGAAUCAUCAGCGAUCGGAUCCCAGAAGAAGAGCGAUCGGAGUUGGAAUUUGUGAUUUCGAUAGAGGUCGUGAACUUGGAUGCGUUGAGGAGGAUAGUGAGCAGAGGGCAUUUGGAUGGAACUCUCCGUGCAUUUGUAGGGAAGAUUAAUGUGUAAUUCUAUGCAUUUCGCUGGAUCACGUUAUUGUUGACUCAAGAAUUUGAAUUCUACUCCAUCAUGAUGAUAUGUGACUCUCUUCUCAGCAAUCCUACUGGUUACUGGCGUGCAGGUAGUUUAAUCCAUUCAUUCUCGGAAAGCUCAACUUUUCCUACAAACCUAGAGCAUGCAUAUCUUGAAUUGGAGAUGCUGCUGAGAGUUUGUCGUGCCAUGCUGCUGAACGUUAGGCAUGAGCUCUUGAAUGGUGAUUUUGCAUCUAAUCUCAAGCUCCUUCAACACUAUCCUCGAACUGGCAUAGACAAAAGUAUUGGAUGUGGCUCGAAAACUAACUCCUUUAUCAUCGUCUCCUCAUAUUAGGUUACUUGUUACAGCGAGCUGAUUAUUCAAAACUGUUGUUAAAGAAGAAACAUCGAUGAUUCA